CCCAGGGAAGAAACAACAGCUUUUACUGCCAUGAACACAUCUGCCACUCUAUCUUUCAAACCUGCAGAGAAGACCACUACAGCUUCACUGUCAAUCCUAAACAUAGUGCUGCAAAUGAAGAUGGAGCUCCAUAGUGAUACUUAAAUCGAUGAGAACUAUUCAAGGAUAUUUUAAAAGUAAUUGCCCUCUUCCAAAUAUUUAAUCAAUGGAAGGGAAAAGAGCACGUAAAGGUAGCAUAGACCUACAAAGAGAAUCCAUUUGAGUUUCUCAAAAAGAAUGCCUCACAGUCGAAGAAAAAUUCGCCCUGCUCCGGGUAUCAAACCUGAUACAACUAAGGCUGCCAACUCUCUAGUGGACAAAGUCGGAACAGCGGGGCUGGCCACUGCCAGGGGCCACCAGUCUGUAUGUGGAAGCAAGCAUUUUAAUGCGAUUAGCAUUCUUUGGGAACUUCACCCAGUUUGCAGUAUGCCUAUAUAUUUGUCCUCAGCUAACCUCUUUAUGCCAACUCGAAUCACUGGGUAUUAAUGGUCUAAUGAAUAGAGAAUCAGGCUGCUGUGCUGAGAGAACAGUAUUUGAAACCAACUGUCGGACUAACUUGAAUCAGUGGGGAUGUGACAAUGGGAAUGCGGCUGCCAUGGCCAAAAAUUGAACCAUUGACCUUGUGCUUAACUGCAGAGUACCAUAACCCCUACACCAUAGCAGCAGGGUUCAGACAAGUGCAGGGAAUGCCUACCUUGAAAGCAAACAUCUCCUCAUUCUCAGCCAGUUCAACAGUGCAGCCUUCAAGAA